rnacentral:tRNA from 1 species
GCGCCCGUAGCUCAACCGGCAGAGCGUCGGCUUGCGGAGCCGAAGGUUGCAGGUUCAAGUCCUGCCGGGCGUG